rnacentral:sRNA from 1 species
GGCCAUUCCAUAACCGAUCAGAAGGCGCCCGUCCCGCAUCGAGCCCGGCUCGGGCGUCCGGCGACU